CAAACUGUAGCUUAUGGGGAAAGCUUAUUAUUUACACUAAUAGGAAAAUUAUUAAUGAUUUAGUUUGA
rnacentral:tRNA from 1 species